rnacentral:rRNA from 1 species
AACGAACGCUGGCGGCAUGCCUAACACAUGCAAGUCGAACGAGCCCUUCGGGUCUUGUGUCGCACGGGUGCGUAACGCGUGGGAACCUGCCCUUAGGUUCGGACUAACUCCCCGACUGGGGUGCUAAUACCGGAUAAUGUCUUCGGCCCAAAGAUUUAUUGCCUUUGGAUGGGCCCGCGUUGGAUUAGCUAGUUGGUAGGGUAAUAGCCUACCAAGGCGACGAUCCAUAGCUGGUCUGAGAGGAUGAUCAGCCACACUGGGACUGAGACACGGCCCAGACUCCUACGGGAGGCAGCAGUGGGGAAUAUUGGACAAUGGGCGAAAGCCUGAUCCAGCAAUGACGCGUGAGUGAUGAAGGCCUUAGGGUUGUAAAGCGCUUUUAACCGGGAUGAUAAUGACAGUACCGGGAGAAUAAGCUCCGGCUAACUCCGUG